rnacentral:rRNA from 2 species
UACGUAGGUGGCGAGCGUUAUCCGGAAUGAUUGGGCGUAAAGGGUGCGCAGGCGGCCGGGCAAGUCCGCAGUAAAAACUGGAGGCUCAACCUUCAGGGGCUGCGGAAACUGUCCGGCUGGAGAGCAGGAGAGGACGGUGGAACUCCAUGUGUAGCGGUAAAAUGCGUAGAUAUAUGGAAGAACACCGGUGGCGAAGGCGGCCGUCUGGCCUGCAUCUGACGCUGAGGCACGAAAGCGUGGGGAGCAAAUAGG